GUUGAAAUAUGAAGUCCAAUCUGAGUGGCAGAGAUAAGUUAUGUUUUCGGAAGAGAGCUGGAAGAUUGAAAACUCGAUCAAUGACUGAGCUUGGGAUCAUAGACCUCUGUUAAAUAUUGACCAAAAAUUAUAAAUCAACGCCUACUGGAGAUUAAUAAAUCAAGAAAAAUGUUAUCCCUGACAGCCAGCCUUACAGCUAGAAACCCCAAAUUGAAUUGUUUUUUUUUUUUUUUUUUUUUAAUUAUUUGGAAGUUCUAGGGUAUGAGCUUAAAAAUUGGACUCCCUCAUGAGUUUCACCAAAAGAAUUUUGAAUGUUUUAAGUGUUAUGCACUCGGUAGUACAAACUUUGGGUCUUUCGCACUGGACCUGAUUCUGUAACUCUGUGAAAUUGCUUGAAGGGUCUUAGGAAAACUAAUCGAACAUGCUUUAAGCUGAUCUAAAAGCUUUCUUUAUAGUUUUAACUGUUUUAUCAAUGAUGCUUUCUCGGAAUGAAAUAUUUUAAACUGAUUUCAUCAACUCCCAAAGAGUGCAUUAUACACCUUCAAGGAUCUGUUCUUUUUCGUAAAGUCGGUUGAGUGCAUUCGCCCGUUUUGCCUUGAGUUAAGUGGCGAACAGCUUGACGGCUAAUUGCUGGUUCUGAAUUCGGUCGGGUGUAUGCAUUCGACAACGCCCACAGAAAGUAAACGAAAACGAAGGUGUGCUUCUUUGAUUGGGCAAUUAGGUGCAGAAACGCCCCUCUAAAAGCUGGGCUUGAUAUUAUGAAAUGAUUACUAUUCAAAAAAUUUGAGACGCCUUGCGCUGUGAAAUAUGCAACACUUUUUUGUGUGAACCAGCCGAAACAAUUGGCCAAUUAAGUCAAGAGUUUGGUCGACUGUUCGGCCCCCUCCCAACAACGUCUCUGGCUUAUGGCACAGCAGAAGUAGCGGACAGGGGCGGAGCUGCUUUGCAUGCCAGGCGAGCAUUUUGUGGCCAUUUGCGUGCCGCCUCGUCGGCCAUGAAAAGAGCAGGAUGCACAGGAGGCUGGCUGGGAGUGCGGUCAGCUUUGGACUGCAAUUGGUAACAUGUUUUAUGCAGAUUUGCAGUCGUUGGGCUUUUUCACGGUGUUCGAUUUUAGCAGACAUGCUGGCAUUGCAAAUUGAAUGGCACACUUUCUGGAAUGCCGUCCGCCAUAUUUCAUUUCUAAUUCGGUCUCCAGAGGUGGGAACAUGAUUUAUAAGUACACUAAGCGAAACAGGCUGCAUACGAAAUUAUAGAACGUAAAGUUGGAUGCCUGACUCUGAAUAGUUUUGAAUAAAUAUAAAUCUGACUAA